UACAGAGGUCUCAAGCGUUGUUCGGAUUCAUUGGGCGUAAAGGGCGCGUAGGCUGCGGGGCAAGUCGGGUGUGAAAUCUCAGGGCUCAACCCUGAAACUGCACUCGAUACUGCUCUGCUUGAGGACUGGAGAGGAGACUGGAAUUCACGGUGUAGCAGUGAAAUGCGUAGAGAUCGUGAGGAAGACCAGUGGCGAAGGCGGGUCUCUGGACAGUUCCUGACGCUGAGGCGCGAAGGCCAGGGGAGCAAACGGG
rnacentral:rRNA from 1 species